GCAGUAUCUCAGUUGGUAGAGCACUGAACUCAUAAUCCAAGGGUUGUGGGUUCAAUACCUGCCCAGGCUGCU